GCUUGCUGCCUUAUUGCCCUGCAACUGGCAACCCACUGAAGCUCAGCAGGUGUGAGCCUGGUCAGUACCUGGAUGGGAGACCUCCUGGGAAAAACUAAGGUUGCUGCUGGAA
rnacentral:rRNA from 1 species